UACGGGGGGGGUAAGCGUUGUCCGGAAUCACUGGGUGUAAAGGGUGCGUAGGCGGGUUUGUAAGUCAGAGGUGAAAGCCCACGGCUUAACCGUGGAAUUGCCUUUGAUACUGCAGGCCUUGAGUCCUGGAGAGGCUGCCGGAAUUCGUGGUGUAGCGGUGAAAUGCGUAGAUAUCACGAGGAACACCGGAUGCGUAGGCGGGCAGCUGGACAGGUACUGACGCUGAGGCACGAAAGCGUGGGGAGCGAACAGG
rnacentral:rRNA from 1 species